UUCUUGUCGGCGCCCGGCGCACGGGUGAGUAACGCGUAUCCAACUUCCCCUUAGUAGAGGAUAGCCCGGCGAAAGUCGGAUUAAUACUCUAUGUUUUCCGUUGAUGGCAUCUGAAAUGGAUCAAAGGUUUACCGCUAAGGGAUGGGGAUGCGUCUGAUUAGGUAGUCGGCGGGGUAACGGCCCACCGAGCCGACGAUCAGUAGGGGUUCUGAGAGGAAGGUCCCCCACAUUGGAACUGAGACACGGUCCAAACUCCUACGGGAGGCAGCAGUGAGGAAUAUUGGUCAAUGGGCGAGAGCCUGAACCAGCCAAGUAGCGUGCAGGAUGACGGCCCUAUGGGUUGUAAACUGCUUUUGCAUGGGAAUAAAGUGCGGGACGCGUCCCGUUUUGUAUGUACCAUGAGAAUAAGGACCGGCUAAUUCCGUGCCAGCCGCUGC
rnacentral:rRNA from 1 species